CCUAAUACCAAACCUCUAGACUUGGGGACACC
rnacentral:piRNA from 1 species